AUCGAGGCUAGGGUCAUGCCUGGGUAUUGGCUAUCGCCUUAGUGUGCUAGAGUCUUCAAAGAAUAACUGCUGACCUUAUUCACUGGCUAUGGGCCUCGUGGCACAGUCAGUCACCAGGUUAGUGACAUGU
rnacentral:snoRNA from 1 species